rnacentral:misc_RNA from 2 species
AAGUCGUAACAAGGUCUCCGUAGGUGAACCUGCGGAGGGAUCAUUACAGAGUUCAUGCCCUCGCGGGUAGAUCUCCCACCCUUGCGUAUUCAUACCUUUGUUGCUUUGGCAGGCCGCCUGGGCUCAUGCCCGGCCACCGGCUCUCGGGCUGGUGCGUGCCUGCCAGAGGAUCUCCAAACUCCAGUUAUCAGUGUUGUCUGAGUCUUAAACAAUCGUUAAAACUUUCAACAACGGAUCUCUUGGUUCUG